GGCUCGUUCAUUAUCCAUGGACUUGAAGCCAGUGAACAACGUGUCCGUUUCAUUCCUGCACUUUUCCCCUAUUUUAGGAGGUAAGACUGGUCCCUCGGGGUGGUUAUCGGACUGAGUGGGAACUACACCCAGAGAUAUCAGAGGAAACAACUGGAUCUGACCUCUCCUCUACAAACAGCACUGUGGCAGAAAAGCUUAGCGCAUACUCAGUGACCAACACCACCAAGCUCAAUCUCUGUUCAAGAACUCCAGGUUUAUCCUGAGACCCCACCAUCAUCCUGUCGGCUAUUGACAGCUCUGGGCCUGGACGAAAGGAGCAAGAAGCAAGAAUCUUGUCGGAUGGGAGACGAGGCAGAAUGAGCUUCCUGCUAGGUAUUGAGAAGGUGGGAGGAAGGAAGCAGAAAGCCAAGAGCAGUGAUCUGGUCAGCAUUGCAGGCCCACCAACUGGAGAAUGUUGUGGUUGAGGGUCGAGACACUCAAUGAUGGUUGGGUACCACCUGAUGACAUCUGCUCCUGGCCGAAGGCUACGGAUAACUCUAAAGGUAUUUAGAGAUUACUCCCCAAAAGGUGAAUGACACAAGAUUGACCAAAUGACUCCAUUUAAAACCAGAGUACUAAAUCCAAAUCACCUCCCUGGUUAAAGGUCAACAAAUCUGCAUAAUUUUUUUUAUCCAAGUUUCUAGAAAAAAAAUUGUUGCGUUAGUUUUCAGUCAAGGUUCAGAGCACUUCAGUCCCAAGCAGCUCUGACAUUGCCACCUUACUAUUAAAUUAUUACAAGUAUGAGGUCUCCCUUUGGUUUGGUCUCCCUGGUAUGAUUUGACUCAAACCUGUGAAGAAUGUUGUUCAGUCCAGUUUCUUCCACCUGAAAGCAAUCUCCAAAACGUUAUUUUUUAUCAAUUGCUGAUUGGCUAAAUUUGUGUGUGCUUAAUGAUGAUUAUAGAUGCUAAUUGUAAUUUACUUUACAAGGGUUUCAACCAGAGCUCCUUCCAGUAUCUUUAGUUAAUACAAAAUGCUGUUACCUGGCUUAUCACUAUGACAAAAAGUAUGAUCAUAAUCUGUGCAUUCCUUACCACGGAGUGGCUUCCUUAAACGACCGCACACCCAAAUAAAUACAUUUCAGAUUUAUUGAUAACUGGCCUCAUUUAUAAAACAAAAGGACGUAGGAUUCAUACGUUGCGCACAAAUGCUGAAAAUUGAGUAAAAAAUUUGAAAUUCAGAUUUACAGUGUUAACGUGUUGCUGCUGCUGCUAAUGCAUUGGGUGAUAGUGAGUACGACCGACAGGAAAGUGUCUGAUUUUUAAGGAGUAAAAAAAAAGUAUUUCUCAUCGUCAGGAUGUGAUGGGACUUGUUGCAUCACCUGAAUGUAUUUCAAUCAUUCAAAACUGCAGGGUUAUAAAAUUCAGAGACAGCUGCGAAAUUCCCAAUCCAUGAAAUUGCAAAAGAUAAUAAUUUUCAAAAUUAUGAAAAGAGGCUUUAUAGAAAGAUAAAUAUUAUAGUGUUAAUCAUAGUUGGAUGGUUCGGUUCUGUCUGUGUAAUACUUGGUUCAGCAUAAAGAUCAUUAUAACAAAUAUAUAUAUAGAAUUUAUAAGAGCUGAACACUUGUUUCCUCCUCAUCCUUCUAUCUGCAUACUCCGGUAUCAGUGCCUGUGCAUCAAUCACGCUACAUUUCGCGCAAGUGUCACCACAGCAGUUAUGUUUACAGCAACCGGACCAAUAACAUCUAACAUCAGUGGGAUCCUAACCUCCACUCUGGGAUUAUUAUUAUUUGGAAAUGGACGUUUGAACACAGUUUAUUGAUUUUUUGUGAGUGGUCUUUUGUGCGCUCUGUGCGCCGUACAGCACGGUCAUGUUACAAACACACACACACACACACACACACUAUAUAAAAAGUACAGUCAUACUUGUGAUACAGGCUCAGUGGUUAAUCAAAUUAUCAAAAACUAUUAAUCACUCAGUGAAGUGUGAAGCGUUCGUCCUCCAGCGGAAAGGUCGACAGUUCGAUUCCCAGUCUUCCAAAUCUGAAUGCCGAAGUAUCCUUAGGCAAGAUGCUAAACCCUUAUUGCCGAACAAAAAAGUGCUGCUAGUUGAUGCACUGUGUGAAUGGCAAACUAUAAUGUAAAGCGCUUUGAGUGGUUAUCAAGACUAGAAACCCCUAUAUAAAUGCCAGAGGUGAAAAGUAACGAAUUACAUUUACUAACGUUACUGUAAUUGAGUAGUUUUUUUGUGUACUUUGAAAUAUUUUGAGUAGCUUUUGAAAUGUGUAAUUUUAGUUUUACUUAAGUAGAUUUUGACUGAAGUAUUGUACUUCGGCUACAUUGGAAAUUACAACCGUUACUGAGUAAAAAAAACAAACAGUUCAAGGCGCAAGGUAAUUCUCGCUGCAGUGGUAGAUGCUGCAUAGAGUGGAUGACGUUCCCUCACGUGCACGUUCAACAUAUGAAAACUGAUCGUAAAGUUCACUGUUCACGAAAAUAUGCGCGACAUGCAGAACACUGCACAGGGAGCCACUGCAGAGCGGCUGCAGAGCCGCGGGUUGCGACCCCUGGCUCCUGCGAAAGAGCGAUUUGUUUACUG